CCUAGUAAAAAAGCUAGAAUUACAACAUAAGACCAGAAGACCCUGUGAAGCUUAAAUAAAACUAUUAAACCAUAUAAUAACUACUUUCGGUUGGGGCGACCUUGGAAAAAAAAAGAACUUCCAAAUAAAAUGAAUAUACCUCAUAUCUAAGCAGGCCAACAAGCCAAAAAUGACCCAGCACAGCUGAUAAUUGAACCAAGUUACUCCAGGGAUAACAGCGCAAUCUUCUUCAAGAGCCCAUAUCAAAAAGAAGGUUUACGACCUCGAUGUUGGAUCAGGACAUCCUAAUGGUGCAGCCGCUAUUAAGGGUUCGUUUGUUCAACGAUUAAUA
rnacentral:rRNA from 1 species